GAUGAACGCUAGCUACAGGCUUAACACAUGCAAGUCGCGGGGCAGCAUGGGGGUUGCUUGCAAUCCCCGAUGGCGACCGGCGCACGGGUGAGUAACGCGUAUCCAACCUGCCCUUCACCACGGGAUAACCCGGCGAAAGUCGGACUAAUACCGUAUGUUGUCCAUUGACGGCAUCCGAUUUGGACGAAAGGCUUGGCGGUGAGGGAUGGGGAUGCGUCCGAUUAGCCAGACGGCGGGGUAACGGCCCACCGUGGCUACGAUCGGUAGGGGUUCUGAGAGGAAGGUCCCCCACACUGGAACUGAGACACGGUCCAGACUCCUACGGGAGGCAGCAGUGAGGAAUAUUGGUCAAUGGGCGUAAGCCUGAACCAGCCAAGUAGCGUGCAGGAUGACGGCCCUAUGGGUUGUAAACUGCUUUUAUGCGGGGAUAAAGUGGCCCACGUGUGGGCUGUUGCAGGUACCGCAUGAAUAAGGACCGGCUAAUUCC
rnacentral:rRNA from 1 species